GAUGAACGCUGGCGGCGUGCCUAAUACAUGCAAGUCGAGCGAACAGACGAGGAGCUUGCUUCUCUGACGUUAGCGGCGGACGGGUGAGUAACACGUGGAUAACCUACCUAUAAGACUGGGAUAACUUCGGGAAACCGGAGCUCAUACCGGAUAAUAUAUUGAACCGCAUGGUUCAAUAGUGAAAGACGGUUUUGCUGUCACUUAUAGAUGGAUCCGCGCCGCAUUAGCUAGUUGGUAAGGUAACGGCUUACCAAGGCAACGAUGCGUAGCCGACCUGAGAGGGUGAUCGGCCACACUGGAACUGAGACACGGUCCAGACUCCUACGGGAGGCAGCAGUAGGGAAUCUUCCGCAAUGGGCGAAAGCCUGACGGAGCAACGCCGCGUGAGGGAUGAAGGUCUUCGGAUCGUAAAACGCUGUUAUUAGGGAAGAACAAAUGUGUAAGUAACUAUGCACGUCUUGACGGUACCUAAUCAGAAAGCCACGGCUAACUACGUG
rnacentral:rRNA from 1 species